AAUCAAACCCUCUAAGCCCAUCAAGAUGGAGGAGCGGGGACUGCCAUUCGCUUAGAUAACCGAUGGUCGCUAAUCGUUUCUAUCAGUAAACCUUGUUUCCAAUAGCAGCGCUCGGCACACCCUUUCAGUCAUCAAACUGCACGCCGGCAAUAACGUGAGACGCUGCUAGCCGUCUCGCUAACCAGGCCCAUGUGAUUAAGCCAUGCUCAAUGAUGCCUCGUUGCCAGCUUGAGGGGACGCCACCUCCCAUUCCAGAGGACAAAGGACGGUCCAUUGAAAAGGGUUAAACUUGUUAUCUGCACUGUCUGGCUUGUGGGAGGAUUGGAAACUUGAGGUUUUCUCCUCCUCCCUGUUGUGGAAGGGGUUGGGCCGCUCCGUCUCUUUGUGCUUGGAGCUCUGCCAUUGUUGGAGAUUCCUGAACAGAGUGUCUGGCUAGAAGGGUAAAACUGGUGACUGGGUGAAAUCAGCUCACUGUAGCAGGGCUUUUCCCAUGCCUGCACUAAAGCUCAUCACUCUACAGGGACCAGUGGCUCAUAUUUCCCAGGAUAUUGAGCAAUAUACAUGUGUUCAGCAAAUGAACCAAUGACCUGCUGUUGGUUUUAGCUCUAGAGGAUCCUCUUAUGACAAAAACAACUAUGGUAAUGAUACAGGAACAGGUGUAUUUUGCAUAUAUACAGUUGUAUGCAAAUGUUUUAGAUUUUCUAAUGAAAAUAAGUACACAUCUUCUUAGGAGAAUACACAUCUGCACACUGUAAUGAACAAUUACUGUUUAUUUAAUACAUUUAACACACUGGAAAAAAAACAGUCA